rnacentral:lncRNA from 1 species
AUGCUUAGUUUGACUGUACCCAACAAUCCCACAGGGGAAAUAUGUCCUCUUUCUGAUUGGCCUGACUUGGUGGAUAUUUCAAAAGUGAAGUUGGACUUAGACUUAGUUGGAUUACUCCGACAUUGCGUCACCACUGAAGAGAAGGAUCUUCACCCAGUUUACAUUUUGGUACAAUUUUCAAUAAUAAUUUUUUGACAUUUUGUGAUCUGUGUUCUCUCCUUCCAACCAACCUCUACCUUCCCCCAAAAUGGAAGGUAAUAUGAUAUAGGUUUUAUGUGUGUUAUUAUACAAUAUAAAUUUCCAUGUUCAUGUUGCUAAAGAAGACACAUAUUGCUUACACUAGAGAAAAAUUCAUGGAAGAAUUAAAUUAAAAAGUGACAUUCUUCAAGCUAUAUUCUGAUUUUUUCAGUUCCUUCUAUAACACUGAUGGCAAAACUUUUAUAGACUACAUUCCAUGCCCUGCCCUACACUGAGAGCACCUGCCCCUCCCUUACUCUACACAGGGAAGGGAGAAAGCACUCCCACUGG